GCAUCUGGGCUCACCUGUCCUCUGGUUGGCUGCAUUGUUGCUGCUUACCAGCAGGUAGAGGGAGAAGCGUGGGGUGGUGGUGAGGCUGGUACAGAGCAAAUGCAUCAGUCCAGCCAUGUGGUUCUCCUGCUGAUGGGUUUGCACCACAUCAGCCUUGCUGCCACCUUGCCCCUCCCACUUCCCCUGCCCUGGUAAGCAGCAGUGAUGCAAGCAACCCGAGGGCAGGUGAGUGCUGC